GUGGGGAAUAUUGGACAAUGGGCGCAAGCCUGAUCCAGCAAUGCCGCGUGUGUGAAGAAGGUCUUCGGAUUGUAAAGCACUUUCGACGGGGACGAUGAUGACGGUACCCGUAGAAGAAGCCCCGGCUAACUUCGUGCCAGCAGCCGCGGUAAUACGAAGGGGGCUAGCGUUGCUCGGAAUGACUGGGCGUAAAGGGCGCGUAGGCGGAUGGUACAGUCAGAUGUGAAAUUCCCGGGCUCAACCUGGGGGCUGCAUUUGAGACGUGCUGUCUUGAGUGAGGAAGAGGGUCGUGGAAUUCCCAGUGUAGAGGUGAAAUUCGUAGAUAUUGGGAAGAACACCGGUGGCGAAGGCGGCGACCUGGUCCUUUACUGACGCUGAGGCGCGAAAGCGUGGGGAGCAAACAGGAUUAGAAACCCCAGUAGUCC
rnacentral:rRNA from 1 species